UUCCAUUGUGAUCCUAUCCCUACCUCCUCGUGGUACCGGCCGGAAACUAUGAGCAACCUUAGGGAAGAUCGUAUAACCGACCCCGGUGGGAACUUUGGUCAUAGGCUGACAGGGAAGG
rnacentral:ribozyme from 1 species